AUGCAGGCAGGAGUCGGUCUACUUGUCUCGGACGUGAUGCCUAUAUACAUGAUCAUACCUAGAUAUUCUCAUAACUAUACUCAAUUCUGUCAAUUGCUCAACAGUAAUUUGUUCACCCACCGUAAAAUAAUUAUGCUCAUGAGAGAAGCCACUAGUGAAACCUAUGGCCCCCGGGUCUAUCUUCAUCAUAUUAAUCUUCCAACACUUAGUUAUUUCCGUUGCUUUUUACUUUGCUUUUAUUUUACUUUGCAUCUUUAUCAUAAAAAUACCAAAAAUAUUAUCCUAUCAUAUCUAUCAGAUCUCACUCUCGUAAGUGACCGUGUAGGGAUUGACAACCCCUUAUCGUGUUGGUUGCGAGGAUUUAUUUGUUUUGUGUAG
rnacentral:rRNA from 1 species